rnacentral:lncRNA from 1 species
GCCGCCCGCGCUCGUUUACCGGUCAGCUCCCCUCCCCGUUCCGCCUCAGCCCGCGUCCCCAGCAGAUUUGAGAACCCCGAACCAGCAAGCCGAAGACCAGUUGAAGCCAGCAGCUCCACUCGUCGCCGGAGCUCACCGCCGCCGCCGUCGUCCGUGCGCAAAGCUCGCGCGCCCGCGUGUCACCUCGCUGGACAGCCGUCGCGCGCUGCUCCGCCCUGCUCGCCCGGUCCCGAGCUCCUUCCCCUCCGUCUAGCCGUCGUCGCCGUCGCUAGGGUCGCCGUCAGCCUCGUCGGAGCUUCGCCCGAGCUGCCGCCCCUCUUCUCCGCCGUUCCUCCGCCCAUCUCGGCGCCGGAUCUGCUCCCUCUCGGCCCCAAGCAGAAUCUGGAAAAAUGGGUAUGGCAGCGGGUGUUUGGCCCGUUUUGGCCGUCUUCCCGAGCCCGGAUGCUCGGCCCGCUUUGAGGAAAGUUGAUCCUCGCGUCGUCCCCGUCGUUUUGGUCUGCUCGGCUCGCUAAUCCGGUGAGUUUAACUCACUAAAUCUUGAUUAGACGGUUAAUUAUGCCCUAAGUGUGCUUAGUCUAAGUUAAGCAAGUUUAUGUGGAUAUUUGAGUUUAUUUAAUUGUGAUUUGGGUUAAAAGGUUUGGUUUAAUUUAAAGGGUAUUUAAUUAAAGGUUAAGAUAGUUUAUUUAAUAAUAAACCUUGAUGGGACAUAAUAGGGUUUUAAUUUUGAAUUAUUUAAUUGCUUCGAAAUUCUGGAAAUUUAUAAUAUUAUAUUAAUUCCGAAAUUAUUAAAAUAUUAUUAUAAAAAAAAAGGAAAAUUUAUUUUUGAUCCCGGUUGUUCAGAAUUUCGUGCCGGUCGUUGCUGUGUAGUCGGAUUUUGAAAUUGAUGAUUGGAUAUUAUAAAUUGAGCGUGGAUCUUGAAAAAUAUGAAUAUUAUUAUUUAAUUAUUUUCGGAAUAAAUUUAAUUAUUUAAUAAAUUCCGAAAAUUUUGUCAAGACCCUAAACUCUCAGAAUUUCGUGCCGAUUGCUGCUGUGCAUUUAGAAUUUGAUAUUGAUGAUUGGUUGUGAUGAAUUGAGUGUGAUUGCGAUUUAUAGGGAUUCUUUAUGAAAUCCUAAGUGUAGAAAUUGAUGGGAGAUUGGCUGUGAUUGACCACCUAUUAGAGGUCGUGCCCAGUGAGGCCGUGAAAUACCACCUAGGAAAGAUCGUGCCCGAUGAGGCCGUGAAAUACCACCUAGGAAAGGUCGUGCCCGAUGAGGCCGUGAAAUACCACCUAGGAAAGGUCGUGCCCGAUGAGGCCGUGAAAAACCACCUACGAGAAGUUGUGCCCGAUGAGGCCGUGAAAUACCACCUACAAGAGAUCGUGCCCGAUGAGGCCGUGAAAUACCACCUACAAGAGGUUGUGCCCGAUGAGGCCGUGAAAUACCACCUAUUAGAGGUCGUGCCCAGUGAGGCCGUGAUAAACCACCUAUGAGAGGUCGUGCCCAGUGAGGUCGUGAUAAACCACCUAUGAGAGGUCGUGCCCGAUGAGGCCGUGAUAAACCACCUAUGAGAGGUCGUGCCCGAUGAGGCCGUGAUAUGCCACCUAUUAAAGGUCGCGCCCAGUGGGGCCGUGAAUUGCCACCUGUUAAAGGUCGUGCCGAGUGGGGCCGUGAUGCCAUUGAUUUAAAUUUGCCGAGUAGGGCCGUAGUUGAGAGCAAUGAUUGAUUUGCUAGAAUGACAUGUAAUCGGCCGAGUCGAUUGAUCGCUGAGACGAUCCAAGUGGUUGAAUGGUUUGAUAAUGUGAUUGUGCCAUGGUUGUUUGGUUAUCAUAAUUGCAUGUGGUUGGUUCACAUAAAUUGUGCUAACCUGCAGAUAAAGGCUGAGGCGAGGUAAGUCCUCUGUGUGAUGUGGCUAGGCCACCCGGGGCGUAUUUUCUUUCUAAUAGGGGUUUAGGGGGUUGAACUUGCUGAGACAUCGUCUCAUCCCAGUUGUGGGAUUAAAAUUUUAGGUCCCUGGUGGACGGAGCAACCAGAUAGCUUUGGUUGGCCUUGAGGAGUUGCAGAGGUGAAGUCAUAAGGAUUGGAGAGCAUGCCCGACUUGUAGGUCGUAGGACAAUUCCUUUUUAAGGGCCGGUCUUUUGUAGACUGUUGGCCGUAGACCUCUGUUUGUAAUUCUGUUGAAUUAUGGAAGUGUUAUGUUGUGAUUUGGUUUCCUGCCUUUCUAUCCCGUAUUUUAUUGUCAGGGGUUUUAUAAUACGUUCCGCUUGCGCAAUAAAGAAAUGAAUGGGGUCGGCGACACUACCUGGGAAGGUCGCUUUUGAUCGACCGCAGUGGGAUGUGCUCGCGCUCGGGGUUCGGGGCGUGACGUCA